rnacentral:rRNA from 1 species
GACGAACGCUGGCGGCGUGCCUAAUACAUGCAAGUAGAACAGUUGCGAACGGGUGAGUAACGCGUCGGUACCUGCCUCAUAGCGGGGGGUAACUAUUGGAAAAGAUAGCCAAUACCGCAUACUGUGAGAUGGACCUGCGUUGUAUUAGCUAGUUGGUGAGAUAAAGGCUCACCAAGGAGACGAGACAUAGCCGACCUGAGAGGGGCAUCGGCCACACUGGGACUGGGGCACGGCUCAGACUCACACGGGAGGCAGCAGUAGGGAAUCUUUGGUAAUGGACGGAAGUCGGACCGAGCAACGCCGCGUUGGUGAAGAGGGUUUUCGGAUCGUAAAGCUCUGUUGUUAGAGAAGCGUUAACGAACCAGAAAGGGACGGCUAACUACGUGCCAGCAGCCGCGGUAAUAC